UCCCUCAGGUCCGCCCUUCCCUCAGCUCCACCCGUCCAUGAGCUCCGCACGCUCCCGCCGCGAUCCGGGUGCCGGCAGAGGUCCCGGCUCCUCCCCUCGUCGCUUGGUUGCGGCGGCGCUUCCGCUCGUGGGGACCGACCGAAAUGGCGGCGGCCAGCACAGCCUUCUCCUUCUCCUCUGCCUCCUCCUCUUCUGCCGCGCUGCUGCGUCCGGGCUGGACUCCCCUGAGGCGAUGGCGAAACCUCACUCGCAGCACUAGCAGCUCCCCUCGCAGCGCCGCCAGUGACAAAGCAACCAUUAUCUCAGGGACAAAGCUUGCCCACCAGGUUUUGAAAGAAGUUCAAAGGGAUGUGGAAUCGUGGAUAUCCGCUGGGAACCAGAGGCCUCACCUCACUGUCAUAUUAGUAGGAGACAAUCCAGCCAGUCACAUCUAUGUCAGGAACAAGAUAAAAGCAGCUGCAGCUGUGGGCAUUUCUAGUGAGAUCAUACUGAGGCCUAAAGACAUUUCACAGGAAGAGCUGUUGGAUAUGACAGUAAAACUCAACAAGGAUCCAAGAGUUAGUGGUUUAUUAGUUCAACUACCUCUCCCAGAUCACAUAGAUGAACGGACAGUCUGUAACGCCAUCGUCCCUGAAAAGGAUGUGGAUGGAUUCCAUAUCAUGAAUAUUGGACGCCUGUGUCUUGAUCAGCCUUCCAUCAUCCCUGCCACUGCUGCUGCUGUCUGGGAAAUCAUAAAACGGACGGGAAUACAAACAUUUGGAAAAAAUGUUCUUGUCGCUGGAAGAUCUAAAAAUGUUGGAAUGCCUAUUUCAAUGCUUUUACAUACUGAUGGAGAGCACGAAAGGCCUGGAGGUGAUGCUACAGUGACCAUUACUCACAGAUAUACCCCAAAAGAGCAGCUCAAGAUUCAUACGCAGCUCGCUGACAUAGUAAUAGUUGCUGCAGCUCAGAGAUAUCAUCCUUCUCUUGUACCAUUUUGUGGGACUACAAGAGGAUAGUGUCUGUCCUCUUUUCUGGUCCCUUUCCCAUUCUUUCUCAUCCUCAAGAUCCAGGACUUCCUUAUGUAUUUUCUAGAUGAAGACAGACAGGUACCUGUCCAAAGCUUGUCACUUCCUGAUGAAGUGAGAUGCCCUUUCCUUCAGGGUUUAACUUCACUGCCUCUUUCCUAAGGCAGACCAGGACCAAGAAACAACUUAUUUGUCCCACAUGUAAUUGUUCAACUGUGGAUCUGACCAGAAUUCACUGCUGUGAAUAAAAGAACAAUGGUGUGCCGACUGGAAAUAAACCAGUAACUUUUCAUGCAAAUUCACUGCUUCCAAUUUAAUCAUCGCUUCUGAUUUUUGUGCUGAACAUGGUUUGUCAUUGUUUAUGCUUGGAGUUAAACGGUCCAGUAGCAAUUCAAGCAUGUUUACCUUUCACAUUACUUUCCUUGUGUCAUUUGUAACAGCAGCGUGAUACAGGACGCAUUACACAACUUAAGAUAUACUUGGAAUGAUGAAAAAAUCUAGGGUUAGGUUGUGCAAACAGCACACAGCCCUGCCCCAGUGGGUGCUCUGGGGAAGGUUGCACUUUAGAAAGGUGGAAUCACUCCAAGCUUCCUUUUGUUACAUGAGAACUGUGCACAUUGUACUUCUGGGAUCACACACUCCCCGGAAAUGGAUGACCUGCUCAGUGAGUGUUGCAAAAAAGGUAGCUUGUACCCUGCCAGGUUGGAACAGCUGCUUUUACAGGCCACUGCAGAAGAUGUGCAAAUGGGAAAGAGUUUUUUUGCAUGUGCCUGCAUGGAAGACCAAGAUUCCUUUUCCUAUGUGAUACUUUUACUAGAGCCAUCUGCAUCCUGGCUGCUGAUUGGUGACUUGUUGCAGUGAGUCUGUUCUGAUCUGAUGCUCCACCUCUGAGUGCUUUUCUGUUCACCUGCAUUCAUGGUUUUGGUAAUACCUCAAAUCACGUGCUUCUUUUCUCUGUUACUCCUGAGUGUGAGAAGAUCCAUCUCUGUGUGCUGUCUCUCAUUUGCCCCCAGGCUUGAGGCAGCUGUUUUCCUGCUUACUUGGAUUGUAACUAUCCAUGCAGUUUAUUCCUUCCUUCUUGUUCCCAACUCCUUGCACCUUGAGUUUGAACAAUGCCCUCCCUAAAAUCUCUUUCAAUACUACUCAGCUUUUGUAUUCCUGUCCAAAGCAUCGUGUUUCCUGUUAAGCACACCUGACACUUUGUAUCCCACCACAGCAUUUCCCAUCUUGGCCUGCUAUCCCUGCCUGUGCAGACAUCCCAUGGAGUCUGUUCUUUUUGCCAUUGGUUCAGCCCCAUGGCAGACGUGUAAGUGCAGCUUUACCCAGCAGUGCCCCUAGAGCCACCACAGGACAGGCAAGACGGUGAUGGAAGCAGCAGGACUCUUGAACUAGUCAGCUUGCUGCUCCUGCUCUCCAGGCCUUCCAGUCUGCUGAGAGAAACAGGACUCAUCUGGCUGCUACAUUUGGAGAGCGGGUAAAGUGAAAAAGUAAUGACUGUGCCAAAUGCCAGAUGAACUUCUGCUUGGACUACUUGCACUGUUCCUCAGGACAUGAUCUGUGGUCCUCUUGUGUAGGAAGUGCUGGUUAAUCAGACUCUUUAUUCUGAUUAGCUUUCUUAGAAAUUGGCUGUUUCACAGUCCUUGCACCUAAAGUCAGAUUAGGUAGGGCCUUGUUUUUUCCUAGUUUAAAAUGUGAUUUAUCAUUUUCUACAAAAAUUACCAAUGAAAGGUUUUCCCAUAUUCUUCAGUCAGUGCACUUUAGGAAAAGCUGCUCUAAUGUUUAUCCCUUUGUACUUGGUAUGUAAAGUAGGCUUAAGUAAAUAGAUACGCUCAUUUGGUUUGGGGGUUAGUUCAUUUGUUGCUAUUAAGUAUUUGGCUUAUUAUCAAACCAUUUUACAAAGGGUGUAACUGUGCAGCUUCCGUUAAUAUGCUUCCAGCCCUAUCACACACAGAUCAUUUACCCCCAUAAGGCUGAGACAUUAUCCAAUUACCAGCCAUGUUGCCAUGGAUUACAUCAGAGGAGGAUGAAGGAGAUGCAGUCAGAUAUUAUCAAAUGGGCUUGGAAAGUGUUUGCGAUCUUGGCUUGCUCAACAUGAGAAGCGUAGUUUCAAGCGGGUGUCUUAUGGGGGAGUGAGAAAUGGAGAGCAAAGAGUGUUCUGGUAUUGCCUGUAUCCAAAUGUCUAAAUGGCUGUGCUCCAGCACUGCACAUGGAGCCAGAGCCUUGUACACCAGCGCUUCUUCCCAAUAAAACUGCAGUUUCAAACCAUAUGCAUUUGGUUUCUCUUCCUUUUUGCCUUCUCCCUAACCUGAGAGAAAGAUGCUUUGAUGAGGAGGGGGGAGUUCAGGCUCCCUUUUUGGAGAUACUCUAAUCUUCCUCUCAGAACAAAAAACUGAUGGAAUUGCUUGUGAAGCAAGGCAAAUUGUAAUUUUUAGUUUGAAAAUUCCCAUUAGUGAAAGUUGAAGGUUGCAUGGCAGGGAAGAAAUUCCUGACAGGAGUCAUACAGCCAUGGAUACAUUUCAUUAUCUAGAUUUUGAAGUGACCUUUUGGGUUUUCUGGGUUCUGACUGAAGCACAUAUUCAUGAUGAAUAUCAAGAUGCUUCACAUUUAAGUGUACUGAAAAAAUACAGUGCAUAUGAAAAAGCUGAGGUUGCUUGUUGUGGCUGUUUUGCUGGAGUUUCUUAAUAGCAAAAAACUCAUACCCCAGGACACCACAGAGAUGCAGCCCACAAGGUGUGCAGUGCCCAGGCUGGGCCUCUUGGGUCAAGUGCAGAGGUCUCCCAGUUUGCUGUAAGUAGCAAGAAAUGGUGUUUUGUCCUCUCUGGAAGGUCAGCAUUAUGUGCUGAGAUUACCAUAACAGUUAAAAUUGCUUAUUGGUUGAGUGUGCUUCUUGAACCAAAACCAAUCCCAUGACACAAAUUUUGGUGGGAUUUUUUUGUGGUUUUGUUUGUUUAUUUGUUUUCCUCUUUUCUGUAGUAGUAGUUGUUACAAACUAUGCAAUUGAGGAGUAGUUGUUUUCAGUGUGGGGUGUAUCAAAAAAUAUUCAACUGAAAGAAUUCUCUUUUGUGCAUUUAUAUCUGUGCAUGCGCACCCCUUGAUAUCAUUCAAAACUGAUAAUCUCAGACUACCUGGCCAGGGUAAUAAAAUAUGUGUUGAUGAUUCCAGGUAUCCCAAAGUUGAUUACAACUGAUAUGGUCAAAGAAGGUGCAGCUGUGAUUGAUGUAGGAAUCAACCAUAUCCAUGAUCCUCUUACAGGAAAAACCAAAUUAGUUGGGGAUGUGGACUUUGAAGAAGUGAAGAAGAAGGCUGCCUUU